GUAUUGCGUGAGGGAUUGCAGUGGAAAUCCCGCAGCCUGAUCCCGAUUGUGAUCGGGAGAAGUGCGAGGAAUUGUAUCGGAAAGCCCGAUCUUUA
rnacentral:misc_RNA from 1 species